rnacentral:rRNA from 1 species
UACGGAGGAUGCGAGCGUUAUCCGGAUUUAUUGGGUUUAAAGGGUGCGCAGGCGGAGGUGCAAGUCAGCGGUCAAAUUGCGGGGCUCAACCCCGUACUGCCGUUGAAACUGCAUCCCUUGAGUGCGCGAGAAGUAUGCGGAAUGCGUGGUGUAGCGGUGAAAUGCAUAGAUAUCACACAGAACACCGAUUGCGAAGGCAUCUCACGAAUCCGCGAUUGACGCUGAUGCACGAAAGCGUGGGUAUCAAACAGG